rnacentral:rRNA from 1 species
UACGUAGGUGGCGAGCGUUGUCCGGAAUCACUGGGCGUAAAGCGCGCGCAGGCGGCGAUCUACGUCUGGGGUGAAAGCCCGGAGCUCAACUCCGGGACUGCCUUGGAUACGGGAUCGCUUGAGGAUUGGAGAGGCAAGGGGAAUUCCACGUGUAGCGGUGAAAUGCGUAGAUAUGUGGAGGAACACCUGUGGCGAAGGCGCCUUGCUGGCCAAUUUCUGACGCUGAGGCGCGAAAGCGUGGGGAGCAAACAGG